rnacentral:rRNA from 1 species
AUUGAACGCUGGCGGCAGGCCUAACACAUGCAAGUCGAACGAGUGGCGGACGGGUGAGUAAUGUCUGGGAAACUGCCUGAUGGAGGGGGAUAACUACUGGAAACGGUAGCUAAUACCGCAUACCAUCGGAUGUGCCCAGAUGGGUAUCGCUUGUAGGUGGGGUAAAGGCUCACCUAGGCGAAGCUCCCUAGCUGGUCUGAGAGGAUGACCAGCCACAAUGGGACUGAGACACGGUCCAGACUCCGACGGGAGGCAGCAGUGGGGAAUAUUGCACAAUGGGCGCAAGCCUGAUGCAGCCAUGCCGCGUGUAUGAAGAAGGCCUUCGGGUUGUAAAGUACUUUCAGCGGGGAGGCGUUACCCGCAGAAGAAGCACCGGCUAACUCCGUGCCAGCAGCCGCGGUAAUUC